UGAAUAUUGACAUCUUGAUUUGGGUAAUGCUAGAACUUGCCUUGAUUCUUAGUCGAACCCUGUGUACAUAGCCUAGGUGUGUUAAAUGAUUUAGGCAAUUCUUUCUUUAGCCCACAGAACCAAACUGACCAACCCUACAUCUAUCACUUGCAACCCCUUUUGAGCUUAAUAAUUCACUUGAAUUCACUUAUAAAUUUGCCCAGAAUUGAGCCGUCCCGGUCAAACUGAACUUAAGGGCAAAAGAGGGGAAGAUAGUGUAGUGGACCUUAUGGGCAGGACUAGUGCAAAAAUUGCAAAAAUGGGAAAUCUGAUCCCAAAAUAGAGAAAAAGUCCGUAAAUAAAAAGAAAGAAAAAAAGAAAGAAAAAAGAAAAGAAAAGAGAAGAAUAAUGGGAAGAAUGUGCUUAGGCCCGCAAGAAUAGGCAAGGAAUUGAAAAAAUCUGGGAAAUCUAUUGCCCAGAAUGAAGUUCAGAAUGACCUUAGCCUCGAGCCAAAAAUUCUCACCUUAUGCCUUAAGCCACAUUACAACCCAUAAAAGACCUAAUGAGAUGCACCUAGGGCU
rnacentral:lncRNA from 1 species